AAAUGUGGGGAAAAGAAAGAGAGAUCAGACUGUUACUGUGUCUGUGUAGAAAGAAGUAGACAUAGGAGACUCCAUUUUGUUCUGUACUUAGAAAAAUUCUUCUGCCUUGGUAUGCUGUUAAUCUAUAACUUUACCCCCAACCACGUGCUCUCUGAAACAUGUGCUGUGUCAACUCAGGGUUAAAUGUAUUAAGGGUGGUGCAAGAUGUGCUUUGUUAAACAGAUGCUUGAAGGCAGCAUGCUGGUUAGGAGUCAUCACCACUCCCUAAUCUCAAGUACCCAGGGACACAAACACUGCCUAGGAAAACCAGAGACCUUUGUUCACGUGUUUAUCUGCUGACCUUCUCUCCACUAUUAGCCUAUGACCCUGCCACAUACCCCUCUCCGAGAAACACCCAAGAAUGAUCAAUAAACAUUAAAAAAAAAAGAUAAAAGAAAAAAAAAGAUAAGUUCCGUAAGACAAGAGAUACUCUCAGAAAAAAGUCAUUGGCUUUAGAAACUGUACAAAACGACCUAAGCCAAACACAGCAGCAAAUAAAGGAAAUGAAAGAGAUGUAUCAAAGUGCAGAAGCUAAAGUCAGUAAAUCCACUGGAAAGUGGAACUGUGUGGAAGAGAGGAUAUGUCAACUCCAACGUGAAAAUCCGUGGCUUGAACAGCAACUAGUUGAUGUUCAUCAGAAAGAGGAUCAUAAAGAGAUAGUAAUUAAUAUCCAAAGAGGCUUUAUUGAGAGUAGAAAGAAAGACCUCAUGCUAGAAGAGAAAAAUAAGAAGCUAAUGAAUGAAUAUGAUCAUUUAAAAGAAAGUCUCUUUCAAUAUGAGAGACAGAAAGCAGAAACAGUAGUGGUUAUGAGACAACUUCAACAAGAAGUGGCUGAUUCCCUUAAAAAAUUAACUAUGUUAGAGUCUCCACUGGAAGGUACAUCAUGUUGUCACAUUAAUUUGGAUGAGACACAGGCCUCAAAGAAGAAAUUAUUUCAAGUGGAAAGUCAACCUGAAGAAAAAAAUGAAGAAUUAAGGAAAGUUUUUGUGUUAGUAUCAUCACUGGAGUAUAAUGUGAAUCAAAUAAGAAAGAAAAAUCAUGAAUUAGAAGAAGAGGCAACUGGAUAUAAGAAACUCCUGGAAAUGACAAUAAAUAUGUUAAUGUAUUUGGAAAUGAAGACAUCGAUUGCCAUGGAGACUUAAAUACAGAUCAACUGAAAAUGAAUAUUCUGAUUAAGAAGCUAAAACAUAAGAAACAAGCACAAUAUGAAAAACAAUUAGAGCAGUUAAACAAGGAUAAUACGGCUUCACUAAAUAUGAAGGAACUCACACUUAAAGAUGUGGAAUGUAAAUUCUCCAAAAUGAAAACUACUUAUGAAGAGGUUACAACCAAAUUAGAAGAAUAUAAAGAAGCCUUUGCAGCAGCAUUGAACGCUAACAAUUCCAUGUCAAAAAAAUUAACGAAAUCUAAUAAGAAAAUAGCAAUGAUCAGCACCAAGCUCCUUAUGGAGAAAGAGUGGGUGAAAUAUUUUCUCAGCACUCUUCCUACAAGGCGAGGUCAAGAGUCACCUUGUGUUGAAAAUCUUACUAGUAUAGUACUCAACAGUAAAUAUAUUCCCAAAAUGACCGUAAGAAUUCCUACUUCAAACCCUCAGACCUCAAAUAACUGCCAGAACUACUUGACUGAGGUAUCAACCUAUGUUAUCUCCUCCAUCAGAAAGCCCAUGAUAUUGACAUAAAAGUGGCUGUUGCUGUGUUGGACACUUGCUCCCAUCUAUUUUCUUCUCUAGAAUCCACUGCCCUGGAAUGAGUCAUUUUUUUUAGAAGCAGAGGUGGAGCCACUGAGGAAGCACAGGCGAGCCCUCCCCAGCGUGUACUCACUGGUCCCCAACAGAAGAACAGCUGCCGCAUCCACUGAGGGCCUCAGUGCAUGGGCGGUGUCCAACCUCUGGUGCUGAAUCAGCCAAGAGAUCCAAGCCUGCUUGGCUGCCUCUUAGGAUAUGAAAGCACAGCCACUGGGCUCUACUGAAUCCUAUGCAACCUCAGAAGACACCCAGGAGUGAUGCCAUCACGUGGUGCAAGAGUUCUGAGGGACCGCAAUCCUGAAGACAUUGAAUGGUGGGUGCAGGGCCUCAUGGCCUGUUCCACAGCUCCUCUCAUUGGCUCUGCUCCAGGUGGUGAAGGGGGAUAACAUUUCUGUCAAUUCUGCCAUGAUUGCCUAGCAGGAAAAGGAGCAGAGCCCAGAAGCAGGGCCUGGUAUGCAGCCUGCCUAACAAGGGAGAAUUUAUAGGCUCUGUGGACGGAAAGAUCUGGGAGUCCAUAUCUAUCACGCACUAGCUUGCUGAGACAUUAGUAAAGUCAGUUUUCUGAACUACAUUUCUGUCAUCUGUAAAUUGAGAGGAAUUUCUUCUACCCCACGAGGCUUCUUGGAUAGUUAGUGACAGUGUGUGUAGAGCAGGUGCCAUCCAGCCGGCAUUUGGUGUCCAGACCACUCCUCUUCCCCCUUGAUUUUCUGCCUAAAUUUGCAUUUUGUUCUUAAGAUUUUCACUCCCCUUAAUUCUGCUCUUCCCUCUGAUUUCUGCCUUACUGUAUAUCCCAUGGAGUCACCAGGAUCAAAGUGGGUAACCGUCAUGUAUGCAUGUAUGUGUGUGUACAUAUACACAUUGCUGGGGUUGGAGUGUGGUGUGUGGGUAAGUGUGAGUUGGAAUCACUGACUAAAACUCUCCACACCAGGCUGUGUUCCUGCUCAUUGCUGGAGGCACUGUCAGGGGCCCUGUCCUCAACCCCGGGUCUGACACUUGCAGAUCAGGCAGGACAUUCUGGAGGAAUCAUGCCCUUGGAAGGAUCCCUGAGGAGUGACUGUUGUUAGAUUAAAAAACAGUGGCAAAGAGCAAUACAGAGAGUUGCCAAAAUUCACACCGCUGGUCCAGGUUUGAAGCAAGCAAUCUGUACCUGCAGUCCUUGUCUGUAACCAUGGCACCCUGGCUUCUCACACAUCUCAUCGUGGAGUUCCACCAUGUGUCAGGCAUGGCACUGAGCACCUUCUUUUAAGAAUAUAAUUUGUAAUUAUGUAGAUUCUUAAUUCUACUUCAAAAUGCCACACAGCCUUCAUGUGAUAAAAUGAAACAAUUGCUCAACUGAUCUCCUGGGAUCUCUACUAAGAUGUUGGCAGCCCGGUCAGCUGGUCUGGCCCUGGACGUGCCUUCAGGGUCUGGUUAUGCUUCAUGACCUGCAUUGUGGUCAGUGCCAUUUUGCAGACUUUGAUCACAGUGAAACGUUCCAUGGGAACUUGGGCCAUGAGAAACAUCCUUCCUAACCACGUGACUGCAGAAACAUCCUUAUCACAUCCUCCUGGGCAAAGGCCCAACAGCCUGACUGCAGGGACAUCCUUGCCAUAUCCUGCUGGGCAGCAAGCUCUACCACCCAGAUCCCUCCCUCCCAGUCCCAUGAUUACCCCAGCCUGUGAGUGGCAGUUGGUUCUGGCACUAAGCUGGUUUCCUCCUCCCCAGGGUUUUGCUGGCAAUAAA
ensembl:lncRNA novel transcript